rnacentral:rRNA from 1 species
AUGGGUCAGAGCCCCCUUAUCCGGCUGCCGGUGGCGGAGCAGAUUCAGCCAGAGGUGGCAACCGGUGGCAGCAACAGGAAGGAACAACCUGGCAAGUCUACAAAAGCUACAAAUAAAUACUACAAAAACUCAAGAAAAGACGAUCUAGUUUUAAGGGCGACACUGGACUCAAUUACUAGAAUUGGAUAA